UCAACGUAUUAGGCUUUCGGGGGAUACUGCCAGACUUGGAACCGGGAGAGGUAAGAGGUACUACAGGGGUAGGAGUGAAAUCUUGUAAUCCCUGUGGGACCACCGUGUGGCGAAGGCGUCUUACCAGAACGGGUUCGACGGUGAGGGACGAAAGCUGGGGGCACGAACCGGAUUAGAUACCCGGGUAGUCCCAGCCGUAAACGAUGCUCGCUAGGUGUCAGGCAUGGCGCGACCGUGUCUGGUGCCGCAGGGAAGCCGUGAAGCGAGCCACCUGGGAAGUACGGCCGCAAGGCUGAAACUUAAAGGAAUUGGCGGGGGAGCACAACAACGGGUGGAGCCCUGCGGUUUAAUUGGACUCAACGCCGGACAACUCACCGGGGGCGACAGCAAUAUGUAGGCCAAGCUGAAGACUUUGCCUGAAUCGCUGAGGAGUGGUGCAUGG
rnacentral:rRNA from 1 species